rnacentral:rRNA from 1 species
GGUUUUUAGAAAUUAUUAAAAAUCUAACCUGCUCAAUGCUUAGUAAAUAGCCGCAGUAUUUUGACUGUGCAAAGGUAGCAUAAUCAUUUGUCUUUUAAUUGAGGACUGGAAUGAAAGGUUUGACUGAGUAUUUUUGUCUUAUAAUAAUAUUUUGAAAUUUAUAAUUUAGUAAAAAAGCUAAAAUUUUUUAUAGGGACGAGAAGACCCUAUCAAGUUUUACAAUCAAAAACUUAUUUUCAAACUAAGUUCCAAAUUGUUUUGCUGGGGCAGCAAAUAAAAAUUUUUUAUUUUUAAAUUGUGAUUAAUAAAUCUUGAAAAAUCAAAAAGUUUUUAAAUAAAAACUAAUUACUGUAGGGAUAACAGCAUAAUUUUUUUAAAGAGUUCUCAUCAUCAAAAAAGUUUGUGACCUCGAUGUUGGAUUAAAAUUCCUAAUUCAUGCAAUAAUGAAAUAAGGAAGUCUGUUCGACUUUUAAAAUUUUCCA